GCGGCAGGCCUAAUACAUGCAAGUCGAACGGCAGCACAGCAGAGCUUGCUCUGUGGGUGGCGAGUGGCGGACGGGUGAGGAAUACAUGGGAAUCUGCCCAGUCGUGGGGGAUAACGUAGGGAAACUUACGCUAAUACCGCAUGCGCCCUUCGGGGGAAAGCCGGGGACCUUCGGGCCUGGCGCGAUUGGAUGAGCCCAUGUCGGAUUAGCUAGUUGGCGGGGUAAUGGCCCACCAAGGCGACGAUCCGCAGCUGGUCUGAGAGGAUGAUCAGCCACACUGGAACUGAAACACGGUCCAGACUCCUACGGGAGGCAGCAGCAGGGAAUAUUGGACAAUGGGCGCAAGCCUGAUCCAGCCAUGCCGCGUGAGUGAAGAAGGCCCUCGGGUUGUAAAGCUCUUUUGUCCGGAAAGAAAAGCGCUGGGUUAAUACCCUGGUGUCCUGACGGUACCGGAAGAAUAAGCACCGGCUAACUUCGUGCCAGCAGCCGCGGUAAUACGAAGGGUGCAAGCGUUACUCGGAAUUACUGGGCGUAAAGCGUGCGUAGGUGGUUUGUUAAGUCUGAUGUGAAAGCCCUGGGCUCAACCUGGGAAUUGCAUUGGAUACUGGCAG
rnacentral:rRNA from 1 species